AUGUCUGGAAGAGGUAAAGGUGGAAAGGGUUUGGGAAAGGGUGGUGCAAAGCGUCACCGUAAGGUUCUGAGGGAUAACAUUCAAGGAAUAACAAAGCCUGCGAUUCGUCGUCUUGCGAGGCGUGGUGGUGUGAAGCGUAUCAGUGGUUUGAUCUAUGAAGAAACUCGCGGUGUUUUGAAGAUCUUUCUUGAGAAUGUGAUCCGUGAUGCUGUUACUUACACAGAGCAUGCUCGCCGUAAGACUGUUACGGCAAUGGAUGUUGUUUACGCUCUCAAGAGACAGGGGAGGACACUUUACGGUUUCGGGGGUUAG